rnacentral:lncRNA from 1 species
UCAGAGUCCCAUUUCUCCCCUUGCUGUGUGGUGUGAGGCAAGCCUCAGCAGGGAGGAGACCCUUACGGUCCUGGUUGCUGUAUGUAAAAUGGGUUGGAGAUGCACAGAAGGGUCAAGUUCAUGGCCUGGAGUCGGUGGGACAUCAAGGAAGACUGAGCAUUGUGCCUGGAGCAGAAUAUGUAUUUUCCCCUCUCAGUUCUACUUUUAUCCAAGUGCAUACAUUUCUGGAAGUGUAGAGAGAGUGCAAAAAUGACAGAGAAAAGCUUGCUCGGAGUUGGCAGGCCAGGACAGCCAGGAAAAAAUGUGCAGACUUAAGUUGCAGAAAAGCACCACUGCAGGAUGCUCUCCAGAAACCCAAGAAACAGAAAAUCAUGCUCUUCUCCACACUAUUUCCCUUAUCAGCACAUCGCGUGGUGCGUACGCAGUGUCUCGGUGCAGCCGGGUGAGUGUGUUGUCUGCACAGUAAUCACCAAGAACAAAGACUCAUCUGCACGGUCAGUGAGCAGGGCUGGGGGGCUGUGUGUGCACACACGUGCCUGUGACACUGCCUGGCUUUGCAGGGCUGUG